rnacentral:rRNA from 1 species
UACAGAGGUCUCAAGCGUUGUUCGGAUUCAUUGGGCGUAAAGGGCGCGUCGGCGGCGGGGUAAGUCGGGUGUGAAAUCUCAGAGCUCAACUCUGAAAUGGCACUUGAUACUGCUCUGCUAGAGGACUGGAGAGGAGAUUGGAAUUCCCAGUGUAGUGGUGAAAUACGUAGAGAUUGGGAAGAACACCAGUGGCGAAGGCGGCUAGCUGGACGGUUACUGACGCUAAGACUCGAAAGCGUGGGGAGCAAACAGG